UACGUAGGGGGCAAGCGUUGUCCGGAUUUAUUGGGCGUAAAGAGCGUGUAGGCGGCCAGACAGGUCCGUUGUGAAAACUCGAGGCUCAACCUCGAGAUGUCGAUGGAAACCGUCUGGCUAGAGUCCGGAAGAGGAGUGUGGAAUUCCUGGUGUAGCGGUGAAAUGCGCAGAUAUCAGGAAGAACACCUAUGGCGAAGGCAGCACUCUGGGACGGUACUGACGCUGAGGAGCGAAAGCCAGGGGAGCAAACGGG
rnacentral:rRNA from 1 species